UUUCCCAGUGUCCCCAUUGGGGAUGGGGCUCCUCUGCAGCCUCACUCCCACUUACCACAAAUCAUGUACCUACGUGGGCUAGGAGGGACUGCAGUGAGGGGACAAGCAGUUUGGGUUUGUGGCUUUGUCCUUUGCAUAACUGAGUGUGAGCCCCAGCCUGGAACUGGCCAAGCAGGAAGGGGUUGCAGUUGUCUGUACAUGCAACAACUGAAAGCGGAGGAAAAAAUUCCCCUGUUGCUUUUGGACUGCCUAGGUCCAAGCUUCCUGUCUAGACUUGUAGCUGGAAAAAACUCUCCAGGAACCAGCUCUUCCGUUGCUGUCUCUGGCACUGUGCUCCCUUGGGCUGGGUGAUAGGCAGCUCCACUCCGUCCAUUCAGCAGCAUCUCCUGCAUCCGUGUGAAGAGUCCCAAGAAAAUAGCACCAUUUUUAAUCAGAUGUCCACAGGAUCCCUGGGGAAAGAGAGAGAUGGUUUCCUAUCUCUGGAGAUGUCACUAUAGUGUUUACGUGGCUGAAGAAGAAAGGUGUGAGACAGCACUUGGGCCUACCAAGGACUUUGCAAUGGUAUGUGGGUGUCUGAUAGUCCCUAAGUGAAGAUCCCCAAAGGGCCUCUCAGUAUCUUGUUUGAUGGUUGGGGUUUUUUCAUCUUAUUUAUGUGGAUUUUUUGGGUAUUUUUGUUUAAAAUAUCAUGGAUAAAAUCCUGGCAUCCUGCUGUAGUUGGUGGGAGCUUUGCCAGUGGGUUUAAUGGAAUUCUGUAAAUGUAAAAAUGUUUUCUUCUGAAAUGUUGCAUUUUAUGUUUGUCUGUAAGAAGCCCUCCUGCUGGUGGAGCAGG